UACGUAGGGUCCGAGCGUUGUCCGGAAUUAUUGGGCGUAAAGAGCUCGUAGGCGGUUUGUCGCGUCUGCUGUGAAAUCCCGAGGCUCAACCUCGGGUCUGCAGUGGGUACGGGCAGACUGGAGUGCGGUAGGGGAGAAUGGAAUUCCUGGUGUAGCGGUGAAAUGCGCAGAUAUCAGGAGGAACACCGGUGGCGAAGGCGGGUCUCUGGGCAGUAACUGACGCUGAGGAGCGAAAGCGUGGGGAGCGAACAGG
rnacentral:rRNA from 1 species